rnacentral:rRNA from 1 species
CCUACGGGUGGCAGCAGUGGGGAAUAUUGGACAAUGGGCGCAAGCCUGAUCCAGCCAUGCCGCGUGAGUGACGAAGGCCUUAGGGUUGUAAAGCUCUUUUGGCGGGGACGAUAAUGACGGUACCCGCAGAAUAAGCCCCGGCUAACUUCGUGCCAGCAGCCGCGGUAAUACGAAGGGGGCUAGCGUUGUUCGGAAUUACUGGGCGUAAAGCGCACGUAGGCGGAUUAUUAAGUCAGGGGUGAAAUCCCGGGGCUCAACCUCGGAACUGCCUUUGAUACUGGUAAUCUCGAGUCCGGAAGAGGUGAGUGGAAUUCCUAGUGUAGAGGUGAAAGUCGUAGAUAUUAGGAAGAACACCAGUGGCGAAGGCGGCUCACUGGUCCGGUACUGACGCGGAGGUGCGAAAGCGUGGGGAGCAAACAGGAUUAGAUACCCGUGUAGUC